rnacentral:rRNA from 1 species
AUACGUAGGGGGCAAGCGUUAUCCGGAUUUACUGGGUGUAAAGGGAGCGUAGACGGCACUGCAAGUCUGGAGUGAAAUCCCGGGGCUCAACCUCGGAACUGCCUUUGAUACUGGGUGUCUAGAGUGUGGAAGAGGUAAGUGGAAUUCCGAGUGUAGAGGUGAAAUUCGUAGAUAUUAGGAGGAACACCAGUGGCGAAGGCGGCUUACUGGACUGUAACUGACGUUGAGGCUCGAAAGCGUGGGGAGC